ACACUAUGAGGAAAGUAAAAAAUGUGAAUCUGAAUUGAGAUUUUACUGUCAGGAUCCAGAGAUCUGCCACCUGAUCUCCAGCAGAGAGCGCUGUGGGCCUCCUGAACUGAUUCCUCUACACACCUGGAGAUCAUCAGCUAAUCAGAGGUCCACACUACUUAAGCAGCUGCCAGACCUUCCUUCGACGCCGGAGUGUUGACCUAGUUUGGAAAACCCUGAAGCUCUGGAUGAGCUCCACGUAGAAACCUGCCUGCCUGCUCAUGAAAGCCAAACCUGAAGAUCUCAGUUUGGAUUCCUUCUUCAGCUCUUGGAUAGAGCAAGGAACAAACCCAAGCCAGAAAACCUUCUAGCUCGGAACUAGACGCUGCUGCUGCUUAAACUCUCUGCCACAUCAUUGACUCUGGACCUACGGUAUCUCACCUCACGGCUCUGUUACAAUCUCCUCAAGAAACUCUGAGACCAGUCCCGGACCAGUACCAGAACCAGAUCCAGUAUUAUAUCAUUGUACAUCUUUCAAUAAACCUUGUUAAACUUUC